CCUACGGGAGGCAGCAGUGAGGAAUAUUGGUCAAUGGACGAGAGUCUGAACCAGCCAAGUAGCGUGAAGGAUGACUGCCCUAUGGGUUGUAAACUUCUUUUAUAUGGGAAUAAAACGUUCCACGUGUGGGAUUUUGUAUGUACCAUAUGAAUAAGGAUCGGCUAACUCCGUGCCAGCAGCCGCGGUAAUACGGAGGAUCCGAGCGUUAUCCGGAUUUAUUGGGGUUAAAGGGUGCGAAGGCGGAAGAUCAAGUCAGCGGUAAAAUUGAGGGGCUCAACCUCUUCGAGCCGUUGAAACUGGUUUUCUUGAGUGAGUGAGAAGUAUGCGGAAUGCGUGGUGUAGCGGUGAAAUGCAUAGAUAUCACGCAGAACCCCGAUUGCGAAGGCAGCAUGCCGGCUUCCGACUGACGCUGAAGCACGAAAGCGUGGGGAUCGAACAGGAUUAGAUACCCGUGUAGUC
rnacentral:rRNA from 1 species